rnacentral:rRNA from 1 species
CCUACGGGGGGCAGCAGUGGGGAAUCUUGCGCAAUGGGCGAAAGCCUGACGCAGCCAUGCCGCGUGAAUGAUGAAGGUCUUAGGAUUGCAAAAUUCUUUCACCGGGGACGAUAAUGACGGUACCCGGAGAAGAAGCCCCGGCUAACUUCGUGCCAGCAGCCGCGGUAAUACGAAGGGGGCUAGCGUUGCUCGGAAUUACUGGGCGUAAAGGGAGCGUAGGCGGACUGUUUAGUCAGAGGUGAAAGCCCAGGGCUCAACCUUGGAAUUGCCUUUGAUACUGGCAGUCUUGAGUACGGAAGAGGUAUGUGGAACUCCGAGUGUAGAGGUGAAAUUCGUAGAUAUUCGGAAGAACACCAGUGGCGAAGGCGACAUACUGGUCCGUUACUGACGCUGAGGCUCGAAAGCGUGGGGAGCAAACAGGAUUAGAUACCCCAGUAGUCC